GGGACCUGAUGCAGCCAUGCCGCGUGUGUGAAGAAGGCCUUCGGGUUGUAAAGCACUUUCAGUUGUGAGGAAAAGUUAGUAGUUAAUACCUGCUAGCCGUGACGUUAACAACAGAAGAAGCACCGGCUAACUCCGUGCCAGCAGCCGCGGUAAUACGGAGGGUGCGAGCGUUAAUCGGAAUUACUGGGCGUAAAGCGCACGCAGGCGGUUUGUUAAGCUAGAUGUGAAAGCCCCGGGCUCAACCUGGGAUGGUCAUUUAGAACUGGCAGACUAGAGUCUUGGAGAGGGGAGUGGAAUUCCAGGUGUAGCGGUGAAAUGCGUAGAUAUCUGGAGGAACAUCAGUGGCGAAGGCGACUCCCUGGCCAAAGACUGACGCUCAUGUGCGAAAGUGUGGGUAGCGAACAGGAUUAGAUACCCUGGUAGUCCACACCGUAAACGCUGUCUACUAGCUGUGUGUGUCUUUAAGACGUGCGUAGCGAAGCUAACGCGCUAAGUAGACCGCCUGGGGAGUACGGCCGCAAGGUUAAAACUCAAAUG
rnacentral:rRNA from 1 species